rnacentral:rRNA from 1 species
AUGGCUAUGAUGAGUGCCGCUUCCUCUCUCUGCCUCCCGCCUCUCUUCCUCCUCCUCCUCCUCCCCCUACUCCUCGCUAUCACCAGCGAGGCCGCCACGCUACGAAUCACCAACCAAUGCCCCUACACCGUGUGGCCAGCCGUAGUGCCGGGAGGUGGCCAGCAGCUCGAUCCAGGGGAGGCGUGGGUGUUGAACGUCCCCGCUGGCAACACAUCCGGGCGCAUCUGGGCACGGACGGGCUGCACGGUCCAUGGCGAAGGCAACGUGUCGUGCCAAACUGGUGACUGCGGCGGCUUGCUCGCCUGCACAGGCUAUGGUCAGCCGCCCAACACUCUCGGUGAGUUUACCUUUGGUGGCUUCAACGGCAUGGAUUUCUUCGACAUCUCCGUCAUGGACGGCUUCAACGUGCCCAUGGACUUCCUGCCGGUGCCGAUUCAGGGCAGGGCAGGGUGCGUCAAGGGGCCACGCUGUUCAGCCGACAUCACAUCACAGUGCCCAACAGAGCUCAAGGCUCUAGGGGGUUGUAACAAUGCAUGCAGGGUGUUCAAGCAGGACAAAUACUGCUGUACCGGGAGCGCUGCAGACAAUUGCAGCACCACCAACUACUCGGUCUUCUUUAAGAAGAUGUGCCCAGAUGCCUACAGCUACCCCAAGGAUGAUCCCAACAGCACUUUCAGUUGCCCGACGGGCACCGACUACCAGGUCGUCUUUUGUCCCCUGAUCAAUCAAGCAAUAUCACCUUCAGCUGAAAAUCCCGUGGCUCUGCCUGCGCCUAUUGGGCCAACAAGCAUGAAACCAAAAUCCUCCACUGUGAGAAGAAUUGUGACAAUUCUAGCUCCCGUAGGCAGCUUCAUUUUGCUUACCAUCGUGUUCCUCGCCGCCUACUUUAUACGUAAAUGGAGAAUACAUAGACAGCUUGAGAUGGAGGAGGAGGAAGAGUUUGGGGAGCUACAAGCAACACCAAUCAGUUUCACAUUUCAACAGCUAAAAGCAGCAACCGAGCAAUUCGGAAACAAGCUCGGGGAAGGAGGAUUUGGGUCUGUUUUCAAGGGACAAUUUGGUGAUGAAAUGAUUGCAGUAAAAUGUUUGGAUCGAGCUGGUCAGGGCAAAAGAGAAUUUUCUGCAGAGGUUCAGACAAUUGGCAGGAUUCAUCAUAUUAAUCUUGUGAGAUUGACUGGUUUCUGUGCAGAGAAGUCCCAUAGGCUCUUGGUGUAUGAGUAUAUGCCCAAAGGAUCCUUGGAUAGAUGGAUCUAUGGUCGACAUGACAAUUAUGCUCCUCCUCUGGAUUGGUGCAGCCGGUGCAAAAUUUUAACUCACAUAGCUAAGGGUCUCUCUUAUCUUCACGAGGAGUGCACAAAACGAAUUGCUCACUUGGAUGUCAAACCACAAAACAUCCUCUUAGAUGAUGAAUUCAAUGCUAAACUUUCUGGUUUUGGACUAUGCAAGCUCAUUGAUAGGGAUAUGAGCCAGGUGGUUACUAGAAUGAGAGGCACACCUGGAUACUUAGCUCCUGAAUGGUUAACGUCACAAAUCACAGAGAAGGCCGAUGUCUACAGCUUUGGUGUUGUGGUCAUGGAAGUCAUCAGCGGAAGAAAGAACCUUGACACUUCCCGGUCAGAAGAGAGCAUCCAUCUUAUUACUCUAUUGGAGGAAAAGGUGAAGAACGACCACUUGGUAGAUUUGAUUGACAGGAAUAGCAACGACAUGCAAGCACAUAAGCAGGAUGCAAUUCAGAUGAUGAAGCUCGCGAUGUGGUGUUUGCAGGUUGAUUGCAAAAGAAGGCCUAAAAUGUCUGAGGUAGUCAAGGUCUUGGAAGGUAGCAUGAAUGCAGACAACAAUAUUGAUCAUAGCUUUGUUGUUGCUACAAAUGUGAUCUCCUCGGUUCCACCUCUAGCUUCACAUGUAUCAGGGCCCAAGUGA